rnacentral:rRNA from 1 species
CGCCUGCACUUCGGGAUAAGCCUGGGAAACUGGGUCUAAUACCGGAUAGGAGCCAUUUUUAGUGUGAUGGUUGGAAAGUUUUUUCGGUGUAGGAUGAGCUCGCGGCCUAUCAGCUUGUUGGUGGGGUAAUGGCCUACCAAGGCGGCGACGGGUAGCCGGCCUGAGAGGGUGGACGGCCACAUUGGGACUGAGAUACGGCCCAG